GGAGACCACUCCGUAAGGCUAAAUACUACUCAGUGACCGAUAGCGCAUAGUACUGUGAAGGAAAGGUGAAAAGGACCCCGGGAGGGGAGUGAAAGAGAACCUGAAACCCUGUGUUUACAAGCUGUCGAAGCACGAAAGUGCGACGGCGUACUUUUUGUAGAACGGUCCGGCGAGUUAUGAUGAGUGGUAAGGUUAAGGACUUAAGGUCCGGAGCCGAAGCGAAAGCGAGUGUUAAAAGCACGACAUAAUCGCUUAUCAUAGACCCGAAACCGGGUGAUCUAUCCAUGUCCAGGUUGAAGCUGCCGUAAGAGGUAGUGGAGGACCGAACACACAUCCGUUGAAAAGGGUGGUGAUGAGGUGUGGAUAGGGGAGAAAUUCCAAUCGAACCCGGAGAUAGCUGGUUCUCCUCGAAAUAGCUUUAGGGCUAGCCUCUGGUUAGUCUGCCGCAGGUAGAGCACUGAAUUUCCUAGGGGGCGUCAAAGCCUACCGAAGAAUAUCAAACUGCGAAUGGCGGACAGAUGAUGCCAGGGAGUCAGACUGCACGAGAUAAGUUGGGUGGUCAAAAGGGAAAGAGCCCAGACCUACAGCUAAGGUCCCAAAGUGUGUGUUAAGUGGAAAAGGAUGUGGGAUUUCGAAGACAACUAGGAUGUUGGCUCAGAAGCAGCCACACAUUAAAAGAGUGCGUAAUAGCUCACUAGUCGAGAGGUCCUGCGCCGAAAAUGUCCGGGGCUAAAACACAACACCGAAGCUUAGGAAUUCUAAUGAAUUGGUAGAGGAGCAUUGAAGACGGAACGAAGCCAUACCGAAAGGAAUGGUGGACUGUCUUGAAGAGAGAAUGCCGGAAUGAGUAGCGAGAUUGAAGUGAGAAUCUUCAAGGCCGAAUAUCUAAGGUUUCCAGGGUAAAGCUGAUCUGCCCUGGGUAAGUCGGGGCCUAAGGCAAGGUCGAAAGACGUAGUCGAUGGAUAACAGGUUGAAAUUCCUGUACUGCAUCAAAUCAGAAAUGUGGGGACACAUGAGGGAAGCAUGAGCCGGAAAAGGAAAGUCCGGUACAAGCGCAGCAGAGGACAGAUAGGCAAAACCGUCUGUCAACUCGAGGGCGUGAUGUGGAGCGAACCAAAGUAGCGAAGCAUGUGGAGCUUGUGUCGAGAAAAGCCGCUAUAGUGUUUGAUGUACCCGUACCGUAAACCGACACAGGUGGAUGAGGAGAGAAUCCUAAGGCCGGCGGGAGAAGCAUUGUUAAGGAACUCGGCAAAAUGACCCCGUAACUUCGGGAGAAGGGGUGCUCCAGAGAUGGAGCCGCAGAGAACUGGCCCAAGCAACUGUUUAGCAAAAACACAGGUCUAUGCAAAACCGAAAGGUGAGGUAUAUGGGCUGACGCCUGCCCGGUGCUGGAAGGUUAAGAGGAGAUGUUAAUCGCAAGGUGAAGCAUUGAAUUUAAGCCCCAGUAAACGGCGGCCGUAACUAUAACGGUCCUAAGGUAGCGAAAUUCCUUGUCGGGUAAGUUCCGACCCGCACGAAAGGCGUAAUGAUUUGGGCACUGUCUCGACAAUGCAC
rnacentral:rRNA from 1 species